GCAUUGGUGGUUCAGUGGUAGAAUUCUCGCCUGCCACGCGGGAGGCCCGGGUUCGAAUGCAGCUUCCGUCACA